GAUGAACGCUGGCGGCGUGCCUAACACAUGCAAGUCGAGCGGCAGCGAGGGGUGCUUGCACCCUGUCGGCGAGCGGCGGACGGCUGAGUAACGCGUGGGAACGUGCCCCAAAGUGAGGAAUAACUGCCCGAAAGGGUAGCUAAUACCGCAUAUUAUCUUCGGGUCAAAGGAUUUAUCCGCUUUGGGAGCGGCUCGCGGCGGAAUAGGUAGUUGGUGUGGUAAUGGCCCACCAAGCCGCCGAUCCGUAGCUGGUCUGAGAGGAUGACCAGCCAGACUGGAACUGAGACACGGUCCAGACUCCUACGGGAGGCAGCAGUGAGGAAUCUUCCACAAUGGGCGAAAGCCUGAUGGAGCAACGCCGCGUGCAGGACGAAGGCCUUCGGGUUGUAAACUGCUUUUAUAAGUGAGGAAUAUGACGGUAACUUAUGAAUAAGGAUCGGCUAACUACGUG
rnacentral:rRNA from 1 species